GGAGCGGUGUCCGAGUGGUUUAAGGUGACGGUCUUGAAAACCGUUGCGCCGAAAGGCGCCGUGGGUUCGAAUCCCACUCGCUCCG
rnacentral:tRNA from 1 species